ACAGAAGUAUCUGAUCGCUUUAGACUUUGCUGCUCCUCUUUAUUAAGCAAACCAGAUUGGGCUAAUUGUUGCUGAUUAGGCAACGCUUUUCGAGACUCAGCAGAGGUAUGCCUCCGAGAAAGUGAGCUGCCACCCUCAGUACCAGCAACAGUGCUUGUAUGUCGAGAAUGGGGGAAAUUCUUCGUUGUAGAAUUCUCUUCUAUCUUAUUUUGACGGGAAGGAACAGGAAUUCGUUUCGGUGGUGUUGGUGAUACACCAUUCGUUGUGUACAGCAACCCAUCUUUUUUGGCGUCCCUUUGGGACAUACUGUCCUUGCUGUUUGAACGAACCUUAGCUUCUA